AAUUGUCACACAGACAGACUGAUCCAGCCUUGCUGACAAAUUGGACUUUUGUGUGACCAAUGUUCUGUGUCUUUGUGGGGUUUUACAGUCAAUGCGCGCUGCUUGUGAAGACAUAUGUUCUUCCAGUUUUCUUCAAGAGGAUAAUGCCAUGAGGCUGUUCCAUUUCUGUCAGCUUUGGACAUGGAUCAGUGGCUUUGUGUUUUCCCAUCACCACAAAGAUGAAUAAACAACACGGAAAAGAGAUGUGGAAGAUGACAGACACAAGAGAAU